rnacentral:rRNA from 1 species
CCUACGGGAGACAGCAGUGAGGAAUAUUGGUCAAUGGGCGCUAGCCUGAACCAGCCAAGUAGCGUGCAGGAUGAAUGCCCUAUGGGUUGUAAACUUCUUUUAUAUGGGAAUAAAGUGCAGUAUGUAUACUGCUUUGCAUGUACCUUAUGAAUAAGGAUCGGCUAAUUCCGUGCCAGCAGCCGCGGUAAUACGGAGGAUCCGAGCGUUAUCCGGAUUUAUUGGGUGUAAAGGGAGCGUAGGCGGGUUGUUAAGUCAGUUGUGAAAGUUGGCGGCUCAACCGUAGAAUUGCAGUUGAAACUGGCAGCCUUGAGUACAGUAGAGGUAGGCGGAAUUCGUGGUGUAGCGGUGAAAUGCUUAGAUAUCACGAAGAACUCCGAUUGCGAAGGCAGCCUGCUGGACUGUAACUGACGCUGAUGCUCGAAAGUGUGGGUAUCAAACAGGAUUAGAUACCCUGGUAGUC